AGAUCCGGAUCCCUCCUCCCAGCUCCAAGCCUGCUGAUGUUCAACCACCCUACAAGGAGCCCCCCAAGCUUUCUCCCAGCCUAGAGGCUGGACACCAGCGGGGCUCUCAGGGUUCAUGAUGUGUGGAAAAGGAUCAGUACAAGUUCUGCUACGAGGUGGCCCUGGAAUACUUGAAUUCUGGCUGAUGAUGUAAACAGCUCUGCAAACAAUCCCUUUCGUACCACAAAGCCAAGACGUUCCAUGGUAUUUGUGCAAAAGAGAUGAAGACUUCUCAAUAUGCUUAUUUUGCUUUGCAUAAUUGGCUCUUUUUAAGAGCUCAAGAAAGUGUUUCUAAAAUUGCUUGCACUGCCCAAUCCCAGUAAUGCUGCUGCCUGACAGAAACACACACACAGCCACAGUCGCCAAAUCCUGUACUCCUUGCCACCGGCUUCCUAGAGCAGCGUAGACAGCUGGUAAACUGAAGAGCACAACUAUAUUCUUACGAAGGAAUUUGUACCUUUGGGGUAUUAUUUUGUGGCCCGUGACCCUCGUUAUUGUUACAGCUGAGUGUAUGUUUUUGUUCUGUGGAGAAUGCUAUCUGGCAUUAUGGUAAUAUAUUAUUUUAGGUAAUAUUUGUACUUUAACAUGUUGCAUAAUAUAUGCUUAUGUAGCUUUCCAGGACUAACAGAUAAAUGUGUAAUGAACAAA
rnacentral:sRNA from 1 species